GAGCUUGCUCCCUGAGAUUAGCGGCGGACGGGUGAGUAACACGUGGGCAACCUGCCUAUAAGACUGGGAUAACUUCGGGAAACCGGAGCUAAUACCGGAUACGUUCUUUUCUCGCAUGAGAGAAGAUGGAAAGACGGUUUACGCUGUCACUUAUAGAUGGGCCCGCGGCGCAUUAGCUAGUUGGUGAGGUAAUGGCUCACCAAGGCGACGAUGCGUAGCCGACCUGAGAGGGUGAUCGGCCACACUGGGACUGAGACACGGCCCAGACUCCUACGGGAGGCAGCAGUAGGGAAUCUUCCGCAAUGGACGAAAGUCUGACGGAGCAACGCCGCGUGAACGAAGAAGGCCUUCGGGUCGUAAAGUUCUGUUGUUAGGGAAGAACAAGUACCAGAGUAACUGCUGGUACCUUGACGGUACCUAACCAGAAAGCCACGGCUAACUACGUGCCAGCAGCCGCGGUAAUACGUAGGUGGCAAGCGUUGUCCGGAAUUAUUGGGCGUAAAGCGCGCGCAGGUGGUUCCUUAAGUCUGAUGUGAAAGCCCACGGCUCAACCGUGGAGGGUCAUUGGAAACUGGGGAACUUGAGUGCAGAAGAGGAAAGUGGAAUUCCAAGUGUAGCGGUGAAAUGCGUAGAGAUUUGGAGGAACACCAGUGGCGAAGGCGACUUUCUGGUCUGUAACUGACACUGAGGCGCGAAAGCGUGGGG
rnacentral:rRNA from 2 species